rnacentral:rRNA from 1 species
AGAGCGAACGCUGGCGGCAGGCUUAACACAUGCAAGUCGAGCGGGCGUAGCAAUACGUCAGCGGCAGACGGGUGAGUAACGCGUGGGAACGUACCUUUUGGUUCGGAACAACCCAGGGAAACUUGGGCUAAUACCGGAUAAGCCCUUACGGGGAAAGAUUUAUCGCCGAAAGAUCGGCCCGCGUCUGAUUAGCUAGUUGGUGGGGUAAUGGCCCACCAAGGCGACGAUCAGUAGCUGGUCUGAGAGGAUGAUCAGCCACAUUGGGACUGAGACACGGCCCAAACUCCUACGGGAGGCAGCAGUGGGGAAUAUUGGACAAUGGGCGCAAGCCUGAUCCAGCCAUGCCGCGUGAGUGAUGAAGGCCCUAGGGUUGUAAAGCUCUUUGUGCGGGAAGAUAAUGACGGUACCGCAAGAAUAAGCCCCGGCUAACUCGUGCCAGCAGCCGC